CUGGGCGUAAGGGCGUGUAGGCGGUUUUCUAAGUCCGGGGCUAAAGACCAGGGCUCAACCCUGGGUAUGCCUUGGAUACUGGAAGGCUGGACGGCUGGAGGGGGCAGCGGAAUUUCCGGAGUAGCGGUGAAAUGCGCAGAUACCGGAAGGAACGCCAAUAGCGAAGGCAGCUGCCUGGACAGUACGUGACGCUGAGGCGCGAAAGCGUGGGGAGCAAACCGGAUUAGAUACCCGGGUAGUCCACGCCCUAAACGAUGAGUGCUGGGUGUCCGGCGUUUGCCGGGUGCCGAAGCUAACGCGUUAAGCACUCCGCCUGGGAAGUACGGUCGCAAGACUGAAACUCAAAGGAAUUGACGGGGGCCCGCACAAGCGGUGGAGCAUGUGGUUUAAUUCGAAGGAACGCGAAGAACCUUACCAGGCCUUGACAUCCUAGGAACCCUGAUGAAAGUUGGGGGUGCCCGCAAGGGAGCCUAGAGACAGGUGCUGCAUGGCUGUCGUCAGCUCGUGUCGUGAGAUGUUGGGUUAAGUCCCGCAACGAGCGCAACCCUUGUCCUUAGUUGCUAACGGGUAAGCCGAGCUCUCUAGGGAGACUGCCUACGAAAGUAGGAGGAAGGCGGGGAUGACGUC
rnacentral:rRNA from 1 species